AGCCUGAUGCGCCAUGCCGCGUGUAUGAAGAAGGCCUUCGGGUUGUAAAGUACUUUCAGUUGUGAGGAAGGGGGUGUCGUUAAUAGCGGCAUCUCUUGACGUUAGCAACAGAAGAAGCACCGGCUAACUCCGUGCCAGCAGCCGCGGUAAUACGGAGGGUGCGAGCGUUAAUCGGAAUUACUGGGCGUAAAGCGCAUGCAGGUGGUUCAUUAAGUCAGAUGUGAAAGCCCGGGGCUCAACCUCGGAACUGCAUUUGAAACUGGUGAACUAGAGUACUGUAGAGGGGGGUAGAAUUUCAGGUGUAGCGGUGAAAUGCGUAGAGAUCUGAAGGAAUACCAGUGGCGAAGGCGGCCCCCUGGACAGAUACUGACACUCAGAUGCGAAAGCGUGGGGAGCAAACAGGAUUAGAUACCCUGGUAGUCCACGCCGUAAACGAUGUCUACUUGGAGGUUGUGGCCUUGAGCCGUGGCUUUCGGAGCUAACGCGUUAAGUAGACCGCCUGGGGAGUACGGUCGCAAGAUUAAAACUCAAAUGAAUUGACGGGGGCCCGCACAAGCGGUGGAGCAUGUGGUUUAAUUCGAUGCAACGCGAAGAACCUUACCUACUCUUGACAUCCAGAGAAGCCAGCGGAGACGCAGGUGUGCCUUCGGGAGCUCUGAGACAGGUGCUGCAUGGCUGUCGUCAGCUCGUGUUGUGAAAUGUUGGGUUAAGUCCCGCAACGAGCGCAACCCUUAUCCUUGUUUGCCAGCGAGUAAUGUCGGGAACUCCAGGGAGACUGCCGGUGAUAAACCGGAGGAAGGUGGGGACGACGUCAAGUCAUCAUGGCCCUUACGAGUAGGGCUACACACGUGCUACAAUGGCGCAUACAGAGGGCGGCGAACUUGCGAGAGUGAGCGAAUCCCAAAAAGUGCGUCGUAGUCCGGAUUGGAGUCUGCAACUCGACUCCAUGAAGUCGGAAUCGCUAGUAAUCGUAGAUCAGAAUGCUACGGUGAAUACGUUCCCGGGCCUUGUACACACCGCCCGUCACACCAUGGGAGUGGGCUGCAAAAGAAGUGGGUAGUUUAACCUUUCGGGGAGGACGCUCACCA
rnacentral:rRNA from 1 species